rnacentral:rRNA from 1 species
AACGAACGCUGGCGGCAUGCCUAACACAUGCAAGUCGAACGAGACCUUCGGGUCUAGUGGCGCACGGGUGCGUAACGCGUGGGAACCUGCCCUUAGGUUCGGAAUAACUCCCCGAAAGGGGUGCUAAUACCGGAUAAUGUCUUCGGACCAAAGAUUUAUCGCCUUUGGAUGGGCCCGCGUUGGAUUAGCUAGUUGGUAGGGUAAAAGCCUACCAAGGCGACGAUCCAUAGCUGGUCUGAGAGGAUGAGCAGCCACACUGGGACUGAGACACGGCCCAGACUCCUACGGGAGGCAGCAGUGGGGAAUAGUGGACAGUGGGCGAAAGCCUGAUCCAGCAAGGCCGCGUGAGUGAUGAAGGCCGUAGGGUUGUAGAGCUCUUUUACCCGGGAUGAUAGUGACGGUACCGGGAGAAUAAGCUCCGGCUAACUCCGUG